GAUUUUUAUUCUAAUUUUUUUCCAAUUUUUAUUUUUUUUCCCCUCUGCAAAGAAAGCCCUUUUCCCUGGAUCUGUCAGAAAGUCAGUGCUGCUGGGUUUGAUGCCAUUUCUGCUGGGGCUCAGAGCUGAAUCACUGAAAAUGUUUAGGAACUGGGUUUAUUUCUCUGGUCUUCAAUGCAUGUGGGUAUGGCUGCUCCUUGCUGCAGGCAGGAUGAUGACAGUGGGAGACAGGAGAAGGCUGAUCCAUCAUGGAAGGAGUCAAGGAAUAAAUUAGGGACCCUCCUGUGCCAGGAUAUGGUGGCAGAAGUGACACUGUGAUGGGCAAUGCUGCCACCUGUAUCUCUGUUUCUCCAGGGAUCCAGGGAUCAGGAUAUUUCAGAGAUGCACAGAAACACUUUCCCAUUCAUUAUCAGGUUGGGAAUGCCAUGCUACAUGGCAUGUGAACAGAACAUGGCAUCCCUGACCCUUGGCUGACAUCCUUACUGUGCUCUCAGCAAAAAAGCUGCAGAUAUCAGGGAACUGGGAUCAUUUUCUCAGCAUCUUUCCAUUGGUGUUUCUGUUUUGUGCUUAUUUAUACCAUGGGAAAAAAAAAGUCUACAAAAUGGGAAUCUAUUUUUAUCUAUCAGCUCUUAAAAUUGUGAAACCUGCUGCUAAAAUCUCUCCCAGUUUUACUGUCUAAAUCACUCUAUUGAUGAUUAUAGAAAUUACUAUUAUUUUUAUCAUUUCUACUGGAAAACUGCCCAAAUCUCUGUUUCAACAGGACAGAAAACGUCUUUGGCUGUUGCUGUCCUCUCUGUUUUCACUGCACACAGGUGAUGGAGAGUCUGGGGGGGGUUUGGUUUUGCUUUUUUAUUUUUCCCCAAAUAAAAGUGAAGACUAGUUGGGGAAUUCAGACAUUGAGGAAAUUCUUUCCUGUGGGUGAGCAGAGAGCCAAGGAAUAAAUCCCUCUCCUUUGUGCUUGUGUUA